UACAGAGGUCUCAAGCGUUGUUCGGAUUCAUUGGGCGUAAAGGGUGCGUAGGUGGCGCCGUAAGUCAGGUGUGAAAUCUCGGGGCUCAACCCCGAAACUGCACUUGAUACUGCGGUGCUUGAGUACUGGAGAGGAGAUUGGAAUUACGGUGUAGCAGUGAAAUGCGUAGAUAUCGUAAGGAAGACCAGUGGCGAAGGCGAAUCUCUGGACAGUUACUGACACUGGAGGCAGCGAAGGCCAGGGAGCAAACGGG
rnacentral:rRNA from 1 species